rnacentral:rRNA from 1 species
UCUUUAUUUUAAAAAUUUUAUUACUUAAGUAGUGUGAAUAUAUGUAUUAAAUAGUGUAGAAAAUUGUUAUUUUUUUUAUGUUUGAAACUUAAAAGGCUUGGCGGUGUUAUAUAUCCUUCCAGAGGAGUUUGCUUAUUUAUUUGAUAAUCCCCAAUUUAUACUUACUUUUUUUUGAAUUACUUAAUCAGUUUGUAUAUUGCUGUCAUCAGUUUAUUUUGUAAAAAUUAUGUAAGAAACUUAAUAAUUGAGGAGUUAUUAUGUCAAGUCAAAAUGCAGCUAAUAGAAAAGGUUUAUAAAGUGAGCUACAGUUUAUAAUUUUUAAUCGGAUUAAAUUGNGUAAUCGGUUUUUGAAGUUGGAUUUGGUAGUAAUAUUAUAAUAGGGAGUUUUUAUGAAUUAGGUUUUAUAAUGCGU